rnacentral:rRNA from 1 species
AUGGCUCGUGAGAUGAAUGGCUUCUUCAGCCACCCUCCGCCUCCGCCUCCGGCGCCGUACCAGGAGGAGGCGGCGGCGGACGUGGACGACGCGGAGGACGGCGGCGGCGGGCAGGGGAAGCUCUGCUCCAGGGGCCACUGGAGGCCCGCCGAGGACGCCCGGCUCAAGGAACUCGUCGGCCAGUACGGCCCCCAGAACUGGAACCUCAUCGCCGAGAAGCUCGACGGCAGAUCAGGGAAAAGCUGCCGUCUGCGGUGGUUCAACCAGCUGGACCCGCGGAUCAACCGCCGGGCCUUCACGGAGGAGGAGGAGGACCGCCUCAUGGCGGCGCACCGCGCCUACGGCAACAAGUGGGCCCUCAUCGCCCGCCUCUUCCCCGGCCGCACCGACAACGCCGUCAAGAACCACUGGCACGUCCUCAUGGCCCGCAGGCAGCGGGAGCAGUCCGGCGCCUUCCGCCGCCGCACCAAGCCCGCCUCCGCCUCUUCCUCCUCCUCCAUCGCCCCGGCGCCGCACUACGCGGGCGUCGUCCUCCAGCACCAGCACCAGUACCAGCACCACGGGGCAUCUCCCAUUCCCAUGCCGCUCCAGCCGUUCGCCAUGGGGGUGGCGAUAGCGACCGGGAUGUACAGCAAGGCCGCCACGGCCACGGCCAGCCGCGCCUACAGCGGCGGCGAGUCCGACGAGUCGGCGUCCACCUGCACCACCGACCUCUCCCUCAGCUCCGGCAACGCCGCCGUGCCCUGCUUCUACCACCACCAGGGCUACGACAUGGCUCCGCAAGCUCACGCCGUGACCCAGGCCUUCUCGCCGAGCGCGCGCUCCGCCUUCUCCGCCCCGUCGUCCUCCUCGGCGCGGAGACAGCAGCAGCAGCACGAGGAGGAGGAUGGCGACAAGCUCAGCCUGCCCUUCUUCGACUUCCUGGGCGUGGGCUCGACAUGA